AUAUAUAAUAAGUCCUACCUGCCCAGUGAUUUUUUUCAACGGCCAUCUUUGAUGAUAACGUAGCAUAAUCAAUUGUCUAUUAAUUGUAGACUAGAAUGAAUGGAUUAACGAAAGCCGAACUGUCUCCUAUUUCCUAUCAAUGAAAUUAACCUCCCUGUCCAAAGGCAGAGAUUGACCUAUAAGACGAAAAGACCCUAAAAGCUUCAAAUAUUAGAUUAAUCUUUCUUAAACAACAACUAAAGAAAAGUUUUAAUUCUUAAAAGUUUGGUUGGGGCAACCAUUGAUACUAAAAAAUCAUCAAUAAUUUAACUAAAAACCUAUAUAAUAUUAGAAUCACACUUCAACUGAAUAAGAAACUUAUAAAAAUGACCCAGAAAUCUGAUCAAUGAACAAGUUACUUUAGGGAUAACAGCGCUAUUUCUUUUUAAAGUCCCCAUCGACAAAGAAGCUUACGACCUCGAUGUUGGAUUAAGAUAAGUGGUGCAAAAGCUACUAAUGGUUCGUUUGUUCAACGAAUAAUAUCUUACGUGAUCUGAGUUCAAACC
rnacentral:rRNA from 1 species